rnacentral:misc_RNA from 1 species
UUUCCGUAGGUGAACCUGCGGAAGGAUCAUUAAAGUUAUAGUCCCCCGGCCCCUCCGGGCUGGGGUCUUCUAUACCACCCUUUGUUUAUUACACCUCUGUUGCUUUGGCAGGCCUGCCCUCGGGCUGCUGGCUCCGGCCGGCUCGUGCCUGCCAGAGGACCUAAACUCUGUUUGUAUAUGAAGUCUGAGUACUAUAUAAUAGUUAAAACUUUCAACAACGGAUCUCUUGGUUCUG